UACGUAGGGGGCGAGCGUUGUCCGGAGUGACUGGGCGUAAAGCGCGCGCAGGCGGUUAGACACGCCGGUCGUGAAAGCCCCCGGCUCAACCGGGGCGGGUCGAUCGGGACGGUCUGACUGGAGGGUGUCAGAGGGGGGUGGAACGCCGCGUGGAGCGGUGAAAUGCGUAGAUAUCGGGAGGAACACCAGUGGCGAAGGCGGCUGCCUGGACCUCUGCUGACGCUGAGGCGCGAAAGCGUGGGGAGCGAUCCGG
rnacentral:rRNA from 1 species